CAAAAUCAGUUUGUGCUUAAGACAGCAAUAUGCCUAUUCUAGUACAAAGAAGUAUCUUGAUUUUCGUAAUACCGAUAUUAUGUGCAUAUGAUUUCGAUUUGUCCACUGACAGAUAAUUAUGUAUCUUUUUGAAGGCUUACAUGCUGGAUUAUGCAAAUAUUAUACUCCUUGUCAAAUAGUUUGUGACUAUAAUGCCCUUGGCUGCAAUUUUUAUUACUUUUAUGUCCCUUAUCUCCUAUGUGAGACUGGUAAGAUAACUCGAAAAAAGUUUAUGAUGUUUGGCAAUCUUUUAAGACCCGAACUACUUUUGUCUGUUCUGUCAUUUUAUUCUUUUUUCCAUUCUCGAAGAUUCUUGUAACGUGCACCAUGUGGUUGGAAUUGAUGAGUAAGUUAAAUAGAUGUCGCGUAAGAGAAUAAAUAUUAUGACGAUACUUGUAAGUACAAUUGCUAGAGUUCUAAUGCCUAUAUGUGUAUAUAGGCCCUUUUGACAUUGUUCGGAUGCUGUGAUUUUCAUGUUAACAAUAAAUAUAGCCUAGGUAGUGACAAGGCAUGGAUUUUUAUUACAUUUACUAUAACUGUUGGGACAGCUUAAGAUAAGGCAGGCGUGGUUCCUCUUUUAAAACUGAUGUUGACGAAAGAUGAGCGGUGGACCGGUGGUGGUGGUGGUGGGGGUGGCCGGAGGAAUUGGAAAAAUGGGCCGCCAAUCAAGGCGAGCUUUGAAAGUGAGAUGACUAUGGUAAUAAUAACCUCGAAUCAUUUUCCAGUGACUGCCUUUACCUUGAGUUGAUGUCCGGAGGUGGCGUUUGGGGGUGGUGAUGGGAUGGGCAGGGUGGUCCAAAGAGCCAAGCUGUGACCACAAUAAGAGACAGCAAAUGAAGGUGACAAGUCAAAUGUAAGACAUCACACUCAAUCUUGGCCUAUUUAUUAUUGUAGGAAGGACAAUGAAGAUUAUUAUUGGUUACAUAUGUGUACUAAUUGUUUAUGUGGUUGACUUUAUAUUUGUCUACAUUUACAAAUUUUUUGGACUUUUAU